CGCCUGGGGAGUGCGGCCGCAAGGUUAAAACUCAAAUGAAUUGACGGGGACCCGCACAAGUAGUGGAGCAUGUGGUUUAAUUCGAAGAUACGCGCAGAACCUUACCAACACUUGACAUGUUCGUGCGACCUAAGAGAUUAGGUUUUCGGUUCGCCGGACGAAACACAGGUGCUGCAUGGCUGUCGUCAGCUCGUGUCGUGAGAUGUUGGGUUAAGUCCCGCAACGAGCGCAACACUUACUUUUAGUCGCCAUCAUUUAUUGGGCACUCUGAAAGAACUGCCAGUGAUAAGCUGGAGGAAGGUGGGGAUGACGCCAAGUCCUCAUGGCCCUUACGUGUUGGGCUACACACGUGCUACAAUGGCAUUUACAAUAGGAAGCAAGAUGGCGACAUCAAGCAAAUCCUAAAAAAAUGCCUCAGUUCGGAUUGUACUCUGCAACUCGAGUACAUGAAGCUGGAAUUACUAGUAAUCGCGGAUCAGGCGCCGCGGUGAAUGCGUUCCUGGGUCUUGAACACACCGCCCGUC
rnacentral:rRNA from 1 species